AAAGGAAUUGACGGGGGCCCGCACAAGCAGUGGAGUAUGUGGUUUAAUUCGAAGCAACGCGAAGAACCUUACCAGGGCUUGACAUCCCACGCAUAGCCAAGAGAUUGGUGAAACCCUACGGGGCGUGGAGACAGGUGGUGCAUGGUUGUCGUCAGCUCGUGUCGUGAGAUGUUGGGUUAAGUCCCGCAACGAGCGCAACCCCUGUUGUUAGUUGCCAUCAUUAAGUUGGGGACUCUAGCAAGACUGCCGGCGACAAGUCGGAGGAAGGUGGGGACGACGUCAAAUCAUCAUGCCCCUUAUGUCCUGGGCUACACACGUACUACAAUGGCCAGAACAGAGGGAAGCGAAGGAGCAAUCCGGAGCGAACCCCCAAAACUGGUCUCAGUUCGGAUUGUGGGCUGAAACCCGCCCACAUGAAGUCGGAAUUGCUAGUAAUGGCAGGUCAGCAUACUGCCGUGAAUACGUUCCCGGGCCUUGUACACACCGCCCGU
rnacentral:rRNA from 1 species